rnacentral:rRNA from 1 species
GAAGCGGGAAGAGCUCAAAUUUAAAAUCUGGCGGCCUUCUGGACGUCCGAGUUGUAGUCUGGAGAAGUGUUAUCCGCGUCGGACCGUGUACAAGUCUCCUGGAACGGAGCGUCAUAGAGGGUGAGAAUCCCGUCCAUGACACGGACGCCCGAUGCUAUGUGAGGCACUCUCGAAGAGUCGAGUUGUUUGGGAAUGCAGCUCAAAAUGGGUGGUAAAUUCCAUCUAAAGCUAAAUAUUGGCGAGAGACCGAUAGCGAACAAGUACCGUGAGGGAAAGAUGAAAAGCACUUUGGAAAGAGAGUUAAACAGUACGUGAAAUUGUUGAAAGGGAAACGCUUGAAGUCAGUCGCGUCCCGUGGAACUCAGCCUGGUUUCGACCUGGUGUACUUUCCAUGUGGACGGGUCAACAUCAAUUUCGGCCGGUGGACAAGGGCGAGGGGAAUGUAGCGUUGCUUCGGCGACGUGUUAUAGCCCCCCGUCGCAUACACUGGCUGGGAUUGAGGACCGCAGCACGCCCUUGUGGCCGGGGGGUUCGCCCCACGUAACGUGCUUAGGAUGUUGGCAUAAUGGCUUUAAGCGACCCGUCUUGAAACACGGACCAAGGAGUCUAACAUGCUUGCGAGUGUUCGGGUGGAAAACCCUUGCGCGUAAUGAAAGUGAAAGUUGGGAACCUCCGCGAGGGGGUGCACCGACGCCCGGCCCUGACGUUCUCUGACGGUGCCGCGGUAGAGCACGUAUGUUGGGACCCGAAAGAUGGUGAACUAUGCCUGAAUAGGGCGAAGCCAGAGGAAACUCUGGUGGAGGCUCGUAGCGAUUCUGACGUGCAAAUCGAUCGUCAAAUUUGGGUAUAGGGGCGAAAGACUAAUCGA